AUAGGUCGCCUCCAAUGCCUCAAAGAAGUCCACCACCUCCUCCUUCAUCUGGGGGUGGGGGAGGUGGGGGACAGCUUGGUGCUUUCUGGUCAACGCAUCACGCAAAGGAUUCACUGUUUGUUGAAGACAAGAGCAGACCUAAAUUUGAUGAAGAACCUAGCCAUAACACAUCACAACAAGAUACGAAUCAGUCAGAGAAUCGCAGUUUUCCCAAAAACGCUAGCCCUGCAAAGCAGGAAAAUGUACAUACCAUUGUGGCUGGUAGGAGGAAUGUGCAUAAUAAAUCACAUGUGCCUGAGGAUGGUGCUUCCAAGGACUUUGAAUUAACUUUCUCUCAGAAAGAUAUGGAUCAUGGCAUGGAGAGGCCAAAAGCAUCAAAACCGGCUGCUACUCGUUUAUUUCAAGAUGAGGCUUUUAGUACUUUUGUUGCUGAAUUUGAUAGCAAUAAGCUCAACCCAAGAGUUAGUAAUGACAAAGAAGGAAAGGAAGAAGCACUAGAGGCUGAAAUAGAGAGGCUUAAAGAGCAGCUGAAGCAGGUAAACUCUGAGAAGGCCGAAAUAACUUUGAAAUUUGAAAAGCUAUCUGCCAUUUGUCGAUCUCAGAGACAGGAGAUACAGGAGCUCAAGCAAACACUAGCUGCAAGAACUCCUUCACCGAAUAAAUAUCAAGCCUCGUCUAGAAUUCAACCAUCUGCAAGUCCUCCGGUAUUAUUUUCAUUGAUGUUUUCACCAUUGUAGUUGUUAUAGAGAUCCAUUUGUCUUCUUGUUUUUACAAUAUUUAAUCUCAUCCCAGCAAGAAAAAUCUGACUGGAGUACCCCAAGCCCAGAGUCAAAGUCAUGGCAAGCAUUUGCAGAUGAUAACAAGUCACGGCAGAAGCCUGUUUCAAAAGGCAACAGUCCACAGUCUGUUAGAACCAGAAACGCACACCAGAAUAAGCAGGCUGCUGAAUUAACAUCUAAUAUUGAUUCGUGGGGUUUUGGAUCAGAGAGUUUUACAGCUGUUCCUGCUGCCAGCUCUCAAAUUUCAGGAUCUAAUACUGAAGUGCACUCAGGUGGGUCAAAGAUUAUGGAGAGCCAGCCAGCUACUCAACCUGCUGGAUGGGCUGGUUUCUAGCUCAAGUCAUUUGUGAAGCUAUAUAAGAAGGUAUACUUACAUUAGAACCAUUAUGUUUUUCCUAAGAGAUAAAUAUAGGGAAAAGUGAGAAAUAUAUGGCUUUCUGGGCUUGUUUGUUGUAUUGAGUGCUUCUGUUUGUAGAUUCACAUUUUUCUAUAAAGCAUUUGAAAAUGUUCUCUGGAUUAGAGGCAAACUACAAAUAUAUACUUUUCUGCAUGUCUCAAUUGUUGGGUGAAAAAUGUUCUUCUUGUCAGUUCUUUUGUUGCUUGCCGUUGUGUUGCUAUUGUUUGGCCUGUUGCAAGCUGUCAGAUUUUAUUUUUACUCUUUCGUGUGCAAAAUGGGAUUGCUUCAGUUAUGAGACUGAAUGUGCUGAGGAAGGACUAACCUCUUCGAGUGGCUAGUUUUCCGUGGUGGAUUUGGCCGAUAGUUCCUUGUGGUCAUAACCUUGGUUUGCGUUUCAAGUUAAUGAAGUUGCAUGGUGGGAAGUUGGCAGGUCAGGAAACCAGAAUACUAUGCUUAAUGGUCCCACACAGACACAUGGAGACAAACGUUUUGUUCCUUGAUGUUUUUAUUAAAAGGAUUUAUAUAGUUUUUGAGUAAAUUAUUAUUUAUUCUGUUUUUUUUUUAGCAAAACAAUUAGUUACUUUUCUUUCCAAAACAUAAUUUUACCAGAAUUAGAUAAUCAAACUGUAAAUAUCAAAAAUAAAUAACCAUACUGAAAUUUCACCUAUUAUCUAUCCUUAAUUCUGUCCGGAAUCAAUUAUCAAAUUGAGAUUUAUUAUCCUUAACCUCAUAAGAAUACUUUCUAAAAUUCCCAAAUAUAUUUCAUGAGUUAAAUUUCUAAAAUUUAAGGACUGUAUUGUAAUUUUUAUAACUCAAUGAUCAAAAUAAAAUUUUAUCAUCUUCAACCUCAAGACCAUUUUAUCUAUCUAGAUUUUCCAGCAAAUUUGAAAUAAAUUUCUUAACCCAUAACAAAUCAAUUUACAAAUUUUUAUUUUUAGCGACACAUCUAAAAUCAAUCACUUAAUCUUUAAUAAUUAUGAAUCAAUCUUAACAACAUAAACUUCAAAUCUUUAUAAACUAUAAUCUAUUCUUUAAUUAUUCUAUAAACAAACUAUAAUCAAAAGUAACAUGAGAGGGAACCACUUACUUAUUACUUCAUCUUUUUUAAAUAUGAAAAACUAAAGAUAAAAAACUGAAAUUCUUGGUUUAAUAAGGGGAGGGUCAUGACAAUCACAAGAAUUAAAAGAGAGAAAAAUAAUUAUCCUUCAACUUUUUUUUAUAUAACCAGGUUAACUUAGGUUGGAUUUGGGUUAAAAAUUUAGGUUUUAUAUUUGUGUUGAUUAUUGUCUCAUAAUAAAAUGAAUUUAGUUUUUGAGUGAAUUUUAAAAUAAGAGGUAAAAUAAAACAUCUCAUUUCUAUUUUUACCGUCUUCCCCCCCCCCCGAGACAAUACUGGAAAUGUCACUAGCGAGAUAUCAUUUGUGCCUUUUCUCAUAACUUAUAAGGGCCUUUCCUCGUUUUUUUUGUAAUUAAUAUAUGUUUGUUUUCUGGAAAGUAAUUUUUGGAAAAUUACUUUUCAAACUUUUCUGUGUUUAUUUGCCAUUAGAAAAGCUGGUCAACAGAAAAUACUUUCCAGUCAAAGGAAAAUUUAGCUUGGUUUUCAGGAAAGUGUUUUCCUGAAAAAUUUGGACGAAAAACACUUUUGGAAGUUAUGAAAAAUUUAAAAAUAUCAUAUUAUUUGCUGAUUAUAUCAAAUUUGGUCCUCAAACUUUUGAUUGCUAUGUAUAUUUUGUUUUGAAUAUUUAUUUUUCAAUUUCAUCUCUUAAAAUUUAAUUUUUAUAUUAACUUUGGUUCUCAUUUUUUAUAAUUGUUAUUUAUUUUUUUCUUAUUAUUUUUUUAUUGAAAUUUUUUAUCUAUCAAAUUUGAUCCUUAAUGUUUUAAUUGUUACUUAUUUUAUUUGAAAUAAUUUAUGAAAUUUUAAUUAUUAUUAUUUUAAUUUCUUCAUCUUUUAUCUUUUAUUUUUUAUUUUUUAGAUUUGAUCUUUAUUAUUUUGAUAAUUAUUUAUUUUAUUUGAGAUAAUUUAUGAAGUUAUAUAUAUAUUUUUAAUUUCAUUCUCAUUCAAAUUUUUAAUUUGUAAGACUUGUUCCUCAUUAUUUUAAUAAACUUGAGAAAAAUAAAAUAUUAAUAAGUUAUUUUCCAGCUAUUUUCCAUGAAAUAGAUAAACACUGGAAAAUAUUUUUCAAUUUAUUUUUCAUUACACUACCAAACAUCAUAAAAUAAUUUAUUUUUCUUGAAUUCACUUAAAAUUUACUUUCUAAACAAAAUUACUUUUCAAUAAAUAAACAGGCUAAAUAGUAUUGCUGGCAAUUUAUUGGUCAGGAGCGAAGAGGUCAGGAACAAAGAGUGUGUAGUUUCAUAGAUUCAGGAGCCGAUAUAGAAAGGAAGGAAUCACGGAGCACGUGCUUGAUAGAAUGCUACCUCUUGUCAUCUGAAAAACCUUCUUCUCCCUCUCCCGGAAAUGUUUAUGAGUGUCUAUUAAUUGUUUUUAUAAGUAUUUGUUUUAUAAAAAUAUAUAAAAAUAAUAUUAUUUUUAUUUUUAUUUUUAAUUAUUUUAAUAUCAGUAUAUUAAAAUAAUAUAAAAACAUAAAAUAUAUUAAUUUAAAUUAAAGAAAAAAAUAAUUUUUUUUAAAUUUUUUUAAAAAUAUUUUUAAAAUAUAAAAACAAACCGAUAAAGGAUUUAGAAAAAUUAAGCCUUGACUAUUGUUCUUGAUGAAAAAUCCAGACAUUCGUUAGCUGUCCAAAGAAGAACAAAGAUUGAAAUAGGAGUGUAAGAAGGUUGUUUAUUUCAAUUAUUGUUCGAUAUAUAAUCGUCAAAGAGACAGCAAGUGAGGCAUGGGUUCACAUGGCCUUUUAUUCUCUUGGCCUCCUUGGUGAUAUGAGACCACUUAUGAUGAUACAUGUAGUCUUUUUAUAUCUCAUGGUACUAAUAACGAACAUCUUUUUUUUUUUUUUUUCUAGUAUUAUUUUUAUUUUAAAUUUAUUGUAUUUGAACCUAAAAAUAUUUAAAUUUAUAAUAAAUAUUUAUUUGUUAUAUUAUUUAAAUUUUAUAUAUAUUUUAUUUUUAAUAGGUUUUAAUAUAUUUUAUUUAUUUUUAUGCUUCUGUUCAAUAAACAUUUUUAAAAAUAUAUUUUAAAUUAGUAAUGAUUAAUUUUUAGAUGGACCUCUUCUGUCGAUGUAUUUUAAAGAUUUGAAAAAAUAUUACUAUAAAUACCAUUAUUAUUAAAAACUCUCUGAAAAAUUAUAAAUGAUAUUGUGUCAGUGAGAGAUUAUAUUUAUCAACAAAUAUACCAAUAAAAAAAAAUAAAAACACCAAUAUAAUUAUAUAUAAUUUUUAUGUAGUAAUAUGUUAAAAAAGAAUAUGAGGAAUAAAUUGAAAAAACAAACUCGGCCCGACUCCUUGCUUAUUCUUGGUUUAAAAUUAAAUUGUGUGGAGAUUGUUUUAAUAUGAUCUAGUUGAUUUGGCCAGUCCAAAAAUAUUCUGACUGACUUGUAAAAAAAAAAUCUAAGAAUAAAAUUAAAAAAAAAUUUCACUUAAAAAAUUUUAUGACAUAACUUUCUUGCCUAGCUUGGGUUUUUUUUUUCCUGUGCCUAAAAAUACAAGCUUUUGCAGCCAGGGCUCAUGGAAAACUUAAUGGAUUGUAUGCACUGGAGAGAGAUAUCGAUGUAAACAUUUUUUUUAGUGAUAAAAAAAUGUUUUAAUAAUUUUUUUUAGGGCUCAUGGAAAAUAAUUUUUUAAAAUUUAUUUUUAAUAUUAUCAAAUCAAAGCCAUUAAAAACAUAUUUAAAAAAGUUAAUUUGAAAAAAAUAUUAUAAAAUUGAAUGAAAAGUUGAUUUAACAAUGACUCUCAACGGUGUCUUAAUAGAAAUCUCUAAAAUAUUACAAAAUUCAUGUUGCGAUCAUGUGAUAUUUUAGCUUCUGUUCUUGCCAUAAGAAAUCAAUACUCAACUUCUAGCUAAUUUAGAGCCCACAAGAUAAUAUUAAAGUGUUUAAAAUAUUGAAUCAAAACUUAAAAAAAACCCUUGCGAAACAAGCAAAACAUACCGACCAAAACUAAAAGAGCAAGAAUACUAUACUCAACAAAGUACACCUGCCAACAUAAACUGAGAAUCUAAAACAAUAUUAAAAAAUAACAAGUGAGUUCAACCAACUUGGUAAGGAUAUAAUAUUUAAUAUACAUUUUAGAUAUUAAUAGUUUGCAAGUAUAUUUAUCUAGAUAUACAUGUACAUAUUAAGAAAAUUAUUAUAACAUAGUAGAAUACAUGUCAAAGACCGAAUGACACCCAAAGAUAUACACUAUGUGAGGAUCAGUCGUCAAAGGCUAAUGCCUCCCUCACUAGCUAGGUAUAUAAAAUGUUAUGUGUAUGUAAACUAACUACUCUCCGUUAGCAUGGAGUUACUAACAAGUUUUAUAUCAAGGCAUAAUAGAUAUUCACAUAAUUAUCAAAGUAAUGUAUAUCAUAUUGAAUAAAAUUUAGUUCAAAAUAUAAUGUGAGUGCAAAUUCAAGAAUAGAUAAAUACUAAAAAAAUAAAGCAACAAAUAUAAAUAUUGAAUAAAUUAACUAGUCAUACUCAUCAUAUAAUUAUCAUACAUACUUAUUUAUACAACAAACAUAUUAAAAAUUAUUUCACUCACCCGGAAAAUUUAGAAGUAAAAGGAAUAUCAAAUGAAAGACUCGAAAAUCCUAUUGAUGAUCGUUAGAAGUACCUACAAUGAAUAUACAAAAUAUAAUAAAAAAUAACUUAAAACAACAUAAAUAAAAGACUCUAAUGCAUAAAAGAAACCUAGGUUUAGUCUCCUAAGUUUAGGGACUAAAACGAUAAUUUUUAGAAAUCAAGGACCAAAACAUAAUUUUACCAGAAUUGGACAACCAAACUGUAAAUGUCAAAAUACAUAACCAUACUGAAAUUUUACCCAUAAUUCAUUCUCAAUCUUGUCAAGAAUCUCAAUUUACGCUCCAAGGACCAAAUGCAAUUUUUCAAAGUUCAAUGACUAAACUAUAAACCUUCACUUAACAAUACACCCAAAAUCAAUCACUUAACCUUAAACCCAUAAUAAUUAUGAAUCAAUUUUAACAACAUAAACUUUAAAUCUUUAUAAACCAUAAUCUCUUAUUUAAUCAUUCAAUAAACAAACCAUAAUAAAAAAUAACAUGAGAGAGAACCCCUUGUUUAUUACUUUCUCCUUUCUUGAAUCUUUAUAAAUAAACCAUAAUAAAAAGUAACAUGAAAAAGAACCACUAAAUUAUCUAAAAACACUUAAGAUAAAAUACUGAAAUUCCUAGUUUGAUGAAGGAAGGGUCACAACAACCACAAUAAUUAGAAAAUAAAAAAUGAUUCUUUUGUAACUUUUCUUAUAUACUUAGAUUAAUUUAGGUGGGGUUUGAACAAACAAUUUGGAUGUUUUAUUUGAGUUGAUUAUUGUCUCAUAAUGGAAUGAAUUUAGUUUUUGAGUGAAUUCGUAAUUUCAAAACAAGAGUUACAAUAAAACAUCUCAUUAUUUUCACUGUCUUUGUUUUUUCUGAGACAAUACUAGAAAUGUAAUUGGCGAGAUGUCGCUUGUGCUUUUUCUCAAAAUUUAUUAAGGCCUUUCCUCGUUUUUUGGUAAUUAAUUAUGUAGAAUUGCCGGCAAUUCACUGGUCAGGAGGGAAGAUGAUGUAGAACAAGUAGCGGAAGCAUACAUGCUCAAGAGGGAUCACCUGAAAUUCAAAGGCAACUGAAUUUCGACAGCCGGGGCGUCGAAAGUCGGAAUGCCGCGAAACUCACCGGGUCAAUGCGUUUCGCCGUUUGGCCAAAUUCCAUCGUUUCGGCCCCGAAAUUGUCAUUUUUGCCAUUUUAGGAAAAUUUUGUUUUAGCCAUAACUUUUGAUUUCCAAGUCCGAAUUGACUUUCGUCAAUUCCUGCUUGCUCAAGAUUUAUAGGCCUUUCAUAUUCUGCAUUUAUCUCAAAUUUGCCAUUUAUGGUAAAUUUAAUGUUUUAUGUCGUUUCCUUAUCCGUCAUGAGUUUAGGUUAAGGUUUUGCUUUAAAUACCAUUGUAAAGCCUAUGGGCCGAACUACUUAAUUAUUAUUGAAUAAAAACCUUUGAGUUUUCUGAGAGUUUCUCUCGUUUUAGACAAUUUUACGGAAUAUUGACGUUGGUCGUAUUCCUUCACUGUUUACUGCUGUGUCAAUUGGUAUCAGAGCCUGGUUUUGCCGAACUCGAUGGCGAAUAACAAAGCAGGAGAUGAAAACUCUAUUGGCGGAGACCAUGGAGUAGAGGCCUUAUGGGCGGCAGUGGAGGAGACGCGGCAACAAGUAGCGCAGAUCCGCGAGAUGCUUGCUGCCGGGGUUAACCUCAACGCCAAUAACAGGCCACCAGUUAACAGGGCUCGUGCCGAAGGAAUUGCCAGAGGCCAAUCUAUUGAUAGAAGACGCAACCCAGCACCUCGCAUCCAACCUGACAGCGAGGAUGAUUCAGAUGAAGAAGAUGACAUGGGGUACGGUUUACCUCCACCUGCGAGACGUCCAAGGGAGCAAGAAGAUUAUCGCCUGAAAGCAGAUCUGCCCAGUUUCAAUGGGAAUCUGCGAAUUGAAGAUUUUCUUGAUUGGGUUACCGAAGUGGAGCGAUUCUUUGAGAUGAUGGAGAUACCAGAAGAAAAGAUGGUGAGGUUUGUAGCCUUCCGAUUGAAGGGAGGGGCUGCAGUAUGGUGGGAUCAAUUACAGAAGAAUCGGCAGCGACAAGGAAAGGCGCUUGUAAGGACUUGGCGUAGGAUGAAGCAACUGAUGAUAGGGAGGUUCCUGCCACUAGAUUAUGAACAAUAUCUAUUUCAAGUACUUCAAGACGGCUCACAAGGAUCCAGAUCUGUGUUUGACUAUACUGCGAAGUUCUCUAGGCUCUUGGAGCGAAACAAUCUUAACGAGACAGAGGGGCAGCGCAUAGCCAGGUGCAUGAAUGGAUUGAAGCCGUCAUUGCGAGAUAAGAUUGGAUUACAGGUGGUUUGGACUGUGGAGGAAGCUCAUAAUCUGGCAUUGAAGGCUGAACUGAUGGAGCGAAGAGGAGGAGUCUCAGGGUUUCGCUGAAACAAUCCAGAGUCUUUGUUUAAUACCAGAGACAAGGGUGGCAACAACAGCCAAGCAGGCGUGUUGAGUCAGAACAAAGAAGGAGGCAACAACAGCAGCAGCCAAGCAGCCCAAGGCAACAGGAAUAUACCUAGAAAUCCAAACCAGAACAUGAACACGAACUUGAAUCCUAACCCUUACGCCAGACCUGCACCUGGAGUCUGUUAUCGCUGUCGGAAACCUGGGCAUCUUUCAAACACUUGCCCAGAUCGUGGCAGACCUGUCAACUGGAUUGAAGGAGAAGGAGGGGAUCUGGAGGCUACUGGAGAGGAUGCAGGGGAGGAUGACUGUUAUGAGGGGGUGGAGAACAAAUCAAUUGUGUAGUGCAUCAAAUUUUAUACACUCCAAGGCAAGAUGACGCAGGGCAGCGGAAUAACAUCUUCCGCUCAUACUGCACCGUGAGCUAGAAGGUGUGCGACUUAAUUGUGGAUAGCGGGAGUUGCAAGAACUUUGUUGCAAGGGGCCUAGUUGAGCACCUAAAGCUACCAAUCGAGAAGCACCUGACUCCAUACACUAUCGGCUGGAUCAAGAAAGGACCCACGGUGAAGGUAACUGAAAUCUGUCGCGUUCCUAUUUCCAUUGGAAAAAUAUAUAAAGAUGAGUAGUUUGCGAUGUGAUUGAUAUGGAUGCUAGUCAUGUGUUGUUGGGUCGGCCGUGGCAGUAUGAUGUUGAUAUUACCUACAAGGGUCGGGAUAAUACUUAUUUGUUCACGUGGGGGUCACAUAAAAUUGCUAUGGCUCCUUACAAAAGGAAGGCACUGUCCGGAAGGGUUUUUGAAGUGGAGAAGCAAUUGUUUUUUACAAUGUCCAAUUCGGAAACAGAGUUUGUGACAGACAUCAAGGGUGCGCCAGAGUUCUAUGCGCUUGUAGUGAAGGCCCUCGUGGUGGAAGGGGAAGCUGAGGCUUCGGUGACAGUCCCUGACAGGCUGAAACCAUUGAUAGAUCAGUUCAGGGAUAUCACUUCGGAAGAAUUGCCGAAUAAUCUACCGCCCUUGAGAGAUGUCCAGCACCAUAUAGACCUCAUACCGGGGGCCAGCUUGCCAAAUCUGUCUCAUUAUCGGAUGAGUCCGAAAGAGAACGAGGUCUUGAGGGAGAAAAUUGAAGAGUUGUUGCAGAAGGGUUUUAUCCGCGAAAGCAUGAGUCCGUGCGCGGUUCCUGCGUUGUUAACACCAAAGAAAGAUGGGAGUUGGCGUAUGUGUGUGGACAGCCGAGCUAUCAACAAGAUAACCGUCAAGUAUCGCUUCCCAAUUCCCCGCCUAGAUGACAUGUUGGAUCAGCUUGAGGGUUCGAAGUUAUUCUCAAAAAUUGACCUCCGCAGUGGAUAUCACCAGAUUCGGGUCAGACCAGGGGACGAGUGGAAGACACAUUCAAAAGCAAAGACGGGUUAUAUGAGUGGCUGGUUAUGCCGUUUGGGUUAUCAAACGCGCCCAGCACUUUUAUGCGCGUGAUGAAUCAGGUAUUGAGGCCUUUUGUGGGGAAAUUUGUUGUCGUUUAUUUCGACGAUAUCCUUAUCUAUAGUAAGACCGCGGAUGAGCAUGUGGAGCAGUUACGGGAUGUGUUGGCAGUGCUACAAGAGAACCAGUUAUUCCUUAAUCUGAAAAAGUGCAGCUUUAUGACAGAAGCUUGUUGUUUCUGGGUUAUGUUGUCAGUUCAGAGGGGAUUCAUGUGGAUGAAGAGAAGGUCCGAGCAAUUAGAGAAUGGCCUGCACCAAAGACCGUGGGUGAAGUUCGGAGCUUCCACGGAUUAGCCACUUUCUACCGCCGAUUUAUUCGGAAUUUCAGUACUGUCAUGGCACCGAUAACCGAGUGCAUGAAGAAAGGCAAAUUUCAGUGGGGGGAAGAGGCAGAAACGAGCUUUGCGUUGAUAAAAGAGAAGCUGUGCACUGCUCCAGUAUUGGCCCUACCUAGUUUUGAGAAGAUUUUCGAAGUUGAAUGUGAUGCGAGUGGCGUGGGAAUUGGGGCUGUGCUGUCCCAGGAGAAACGACCAAUAGCUUUCUUCAGUGAGAAGUUGAGUGAGGCUCGCCAGAAGUGGAGUACGUAUAACCAAGAGUUUUACGCGGUGGUCCGAGCUUUGAAGCAUUGGGAACACUAUCUAGUGCAGCGGGAGUUCGUUUUGUACACUGAUCACCAAGCUAUGAAAUUUAUUAAUAGCCAGAAGCACUUGGAUAACAUGCAUGUCAGAUGGGCAACUUUCCUUCAGAAGUUCCCUUUUGCUAUCCGACACAAGUCUGGUGCUUUGAAUCGGGUUGCCGAUGCGUUGAGCCGUUGUGCCAAUCUACUGGUGACGUUGGCUCAUGAGAUAGUGGCGUUUGAGUGCCUAAAAGAGUUGUAUCAGGAGGAUGAGGACUUCAAAGAAAUCUGGGCGAAGUGCAGUGAGAACCACCCCAUCAGCGAUUUUCAUGAGAGCGAAGGUUUUCUAUUUCGCGGAAAUCGUCUGUGUAUACCCCGGAUGUCGCUGCGAGAGAAAUUGAUCUAUGACCUUCAUGGGGGUGGAUUGAGUGGGCACUUAGGUCGGGACAAAACAGUAGCUAGCUUAGAGGAACAAUAUUUCUAGCCGCAACUGAAGAGAGACGUCGACAAUUUUGUAAAGAGGUGCUAUAUAUGUCAGGUAUCUAAAGGUCAGUCGCAGAAUACUGGUCUCUAUACACCUUUACCUAUUCCUGACAAUAUUUGGGAGGAUUUAUCUAUGGAUUUUGUGCUGGGGUUGCCUCGCACCCAGCGAGGGGUGGAUUCUAUUUUUGUGGUGGUUGACAGGUUUUCAAAGAUGGCUCACUUCAUCCGUUGCCGAAAGACCUCAGAUGCUUCACAUAUAGCCCGAUUGUUUUUCAGGGAAGUGGUUCGACUUCAUGGAGUGCCGCAGUCUAUUACUUCUGAUCGCGACACAAAAUUCCUUAGCCACUGUUAGGUAACUUUAUGGAAGAUGUUUCAGACUUCGCUGAACCGAAGCACAACCGCGCACCCGCAAACUGAUGGGCAGACAAAGGUUACAAACCGAACUUUGGGAAAUCUGGUUCAUAGCAUUUGUGGGGAUAAACCAAAACAUUGGGAUCAUGCGUUGCCACAGGCUGAGUUUGCUUACAAUAGUGUAUUGUUCAUAGCGCAACGGGGAAGACUCCUUUUGCUAUGAUAUAUGUGACACCACGAGACACACAGUCGACUUAGUUCGUCUCCCAAGGGAGGUCCAGGAUUUAGUAUGGCCGCUGAGAACAUGGCGACACAAGGCCAGACCGUGCAGGAGGAAGUGAGGCAGAGGUUGGAAGCAACAAAUGCAAAGUACAAGGCUGCGGCAGAUAAGCACCGACGUCGCAAGGUGUUUGAAGAGGGAGAUUCCGUGAUGGUUUUCUUGCGCAAAGAAAGGUUUCCCGUGGGCACUUAAAAUAAGCUGAAGCCCAAGAAAUAUGGUCCGUAUCAGGUUUUGAAGAAGAUCAACGAUAAUGCCUAUGUGAUUGAUCUUCCCGAAACCAUGGGCAUUUCCAAGACUUUCAACGUUGCAGAUUUGUUUCAAUAUUAUGCAGAGGAACACUUGUAUCCUGAUCUCGAUCCGGAACCUAACUCGAGGUUGAGUUCUUUUCAAGUGGAGGAGUUUGGUGUAGAACAAGUAGCGGAAGCAUACAUGCUCAAGAGGGAUCACCCGAAAUUCAAAGGCAACUGAAUUUCGGCAGCCGGGGCGUCGAAAGUCGGAAUGCCGCGAAACUCACCGGGUCAAUGCGUUUCACUGUUUGGAGAAGAAGUCAGCGACUAUGCCCCUGAUGUCUACCCAUUUUUGGCCAAAUUCCAUUGUUUCGACCCCGAAAUCGUCAUUUUUGCCAUUUUAGGAAAGUUUUGUUUUAGCCAUAACUUUUGAUUUCCAAGUCCGAAUUGACUUUCGUCAAUUCCUGCUUGCUCAGGAUUUAUAGGCCUUUCAUAUUCUGCAUUUAUCUCAAAUUUGCCAUUUAUGGUAAAUUUAAUGUUUUAUGUCGUUUCCUUAUCCGUCAUGAGUUUAGGUUAGGGUUUUGCUUUAAAUACCAUUGUAAAGCCUCUAGCCGAACUACUUAAUUAUUAUUGAAUAAAAACCUUUGAGUUUUCUGAGAGUUUCUCUCGUUUUAGACAAUUUUACAGAAUAUUGACGUUGGUCGUAUUCCUUCACUGGUUACCGAAGUGGAGCGAUUCUUUGAGAUGAUGGAGAUACCAGAAGAAAAGAUGGUGAGGUUUGUAGCCUUCCGAUUGAAGGGAGGGGCUGCAGUAUGGUGGGAUCAAUUAGAGAAGAAUCGGCAGCGACAAGGAAAGGCGCUUGUAAGGACUUGGCGUAGGAUGAAGCAAUUGAUGAUAGGGAGGUUCCUGCCACCAGAUUAUGAACAAUAUCUGUUUCAAGUACUUUAAGACUGCUCACAAGGAUCCAGAUCUGUGUUUGACUAUACUGCGGAGUUCUCUAGGCUCUUGGAGCGAAACAAUCUUAACGAGACAGAGGGGCAGCGCGUAGCCAGGUACAUGAAUGGAUUGAAAUUGUCAUUGCGAGAUAAGAUUGGAUUACAGGUGGUUUGGACUGUGGAGGAAGCUCAUAAUCUAGCAUUGAAGGCUGAACUGAUGGAGCAAAGAGGAGGAGUCUCAGGGUUUCGCCGAAACAAUCCAGAGUCUUUGUUAAUACCAGAGACAAGGGUGGCAACAACAGCCAAGCAAGCGUGUUGAGUCAGAACAAAGAAGGAGGCAGCAGCAGCAGCAGCCAAGCAACCCAAGGCAACAAGAAUAUACCCAGAAAUCCAAACCAGAACACGAACACGAACUUGAAUUCGAGCCUUCAGGGCCAAUAUAGAAAGGAAGGACUCAUCGAGCCUGUGCUUGAUAAAAUGUUACCUUUAGUCAUUUGUUGAAAAAAAAAUGUGGUUGUAAUUUUUUUUAAAGUAUUUUUAAUUUUAAAAUAUAUUAAAUAAUAUUUUUUUUUAUUUGUUUUAAAAUUAUUUUUGAUAUCCAUACAUCUAAUAAUCUAAAGAUAUUAAAAAAACAUUUUAAUUUGAAUAAAAAAAUAAAAAUAUUUUUAAAAUGUAAAAAUAAUUAGAAAAAUGGAGCAUGAAUUUAAGUCAAUAGUCAGAAAUUAAGAAAUGCAGACAUUACUUAGCGGUCCAAAGAAGAACAAAGAUUGACUAGUCCAUAAAUUCAAAAGUCUUUGUCUCUAUCAUAAGAAAUCAAUACGCUACUCUAUUUUCUUUGGGCUUCACUCCAUUACUGUUCCUAUAGAUUUAAGGGCGUUGUAGUAAAAACAUCUCUUGCUAGGAAAUAAUUCUUUAAAAAUUAAAUAAUUUUUUAAUGUUUGAUAAUAUUAUGAAAAAUAAAUUGAAAAAUAUUUUUUUAGUAUUUAGUUAUGCCAUAAAAAAUGAGUUGAAAAACAUUUUUUUAGAUUUUUUCAAGUUUAUUAAAAGAAUGAAAACCAAAUCUAUCAGAUAAAAAAGUUUAGAGAAAAUAAAAUUAAAAAACAAAUUUUAAUUUUAUAAAUUAUUUCAAAUAAAAUAAAUAGUAAUAAAAAGAAUAUAAACCAAAUUUGACAAAUAAAAAAAGUUGAAAGAUGAUGAAAUAAAAAAAAUAAUUUCAUAAAUUAUUUUAAAUAAAAUAAAUAGCAAUCAAAAUAAUGGGGAUCAAAUUUAAUAUUAUUUAAAAAUAAUAAGAUAAAAAUAAAUAAUAAUAAAAAAAUGAUAAGAGGAAAAUAAAUAAUAAUAAAAAGAAUUGGGAUCAAAAUUAUAAAAAUAAAAUAAAAUUAAUUUUAAAGGGAUAAAAUUAAAAGAAUCAAAACAAAAUAUAUAGCGAUCAAAUUAUUAAUGACCAAAUUUUUAAAAAAAUAUUGAGAAACAAAUUAUUCAUAAAUUUUCUUUAACUGAAAAAUAUUUUUAAUUGAAUGACUUUUUUAAUAAUAAAUAAAUAUGAAAAAUAUUAUUUAAAAAAAUUAAUUUUCAUAAAUGGAAACAAGACUAAUUCCAUGAUUCCUUGCCAUUUUCCACAAGUCUCUGAGAGUAACAGACCAGUUUUGUUUUGUUGACAACAUUAUGUAAUGAGCUGUUCAGUAGAAAAGUCUCAGCUCAUGAGCUUCUUCUAUAUGUAUCCUGCUAUUUUUAAUUUUUGAUAGUAUUAUAAAAAAUAAUUAAAAAAUAUUUUUCGGUGUUUAAUUAUAUCAUAUUAAAAACUAAUUUUUUAAUUUUUUUAAAAAAAUUAAAAUUAAAAGAAAAAGAACAGAAACUCUUGAAAAUUAAGAAAAAAAAUAAUCAUUCUUAUGAGUCAACAAAGAAAGGCUUUCCAUGAUUCCUUGCCUUUGAGGGUAUCAUACACCAGCCUAUGUUAUGUUGACAACAUUAUGUAAUGAGCUGUCCAGGAGAAAAGUCUCAGCUCAUGAGCUUCUAUAUGUAUUCUGCAUUAGCUCUUCAAAGUUCAAACUGAGUCCAAACUCCUCUAAAAUUGGCUUUUCCUUGUUUUAGGACUACCCUCAACCUCUUGCUGUUUCUUGUUCUGACACCUUCUGUGUUUGCCCAAACUCCUCCUAAUGUUACUUUGGGUUCAUACCUUUGGGUAAUUAAUUACCUUCGCACAACACCAUGCACGCAUGAAACUAGUUCAUGCGUGCUGUGGCCCAGCCCCAAUAAUAAUAAAAAAUAAAUAAAAAAAUAAAAAAAAUUAGAAAAUAGAAAAAUAUAUGUAUGCAUGAAUAAAAAUAAUAUAAAUUUACUGGUUUAUUCACCAACACCAGGAAUAAAAUACUGGCUUAAAUUUAUAUUAUUUUUAUUCGUUAUAUUUUAUUUUAUUUAGCAAGAAAAAAUAAUAAUAAAAAAAAAUAUAUGUGCAUGUAUGAAAAAUAAAAUUUAUUUUAUUGGUUUAUUCACUUACGCCAGAGUCAGGAAUAAAAACACUGAUUUAAUUAUAUUUAUGUUUUUUUAUUUAACUACAUAAGAAAUAAAAAAAAUAUGUGAAUGCGUAAUAAGAUGAAUUUAGUUUAUUUGUUUAUUCACUAGCGUUAAAGUCAGGAAUAAAAAAAUAUUGAUGUAAAUUUAUUUUAUAGCUACAUAAUAGUUACCAACGUGAUUAGUACUUAAAAGUGCAUGUUUAUCAAGGGUUUAUAUCAUCAUUUUGCACUUAAAGUAUCAAUAACUCCUUAACUAAAGCAUGUUUUAUAAUAACAAGUCUAAUAUUAUAAAUUACCCUAAUAUAUGGUAAAUGUUCAUCUUAAAUGCAGGCAUAUCACAUAAAUCAAAGGAUUGAUUGAUGAAUUCAACUACUGAAAUUUUGAAGAUAAAGAAAGAAGGGUGAAGCUUAGAAAAGAGAUGUUGGUGCAGUCCAAACUGGAACACUGUUCGGUAAUUGGGUCAUAUCUCGAGUUUUAGAUAUCCAAAUGAUCUGAAAUUUUUACAGAGAUUUGAUAAGACAUAGGCCUACAACUUUCAUUUGGACAUCAAGAUCUAAGAAGGCCGUUUUCAAGUCCAAAUAAUAGCAACAACGGAGAAGUCCGAAGCUGUCCUGCAGCCCAAACACUAUUCAGUGUUCAGCCCAUAUCUUGAGUUCUAGAAGUCCAAAUGACCUCAUCUUUUUUUUGCUGGAAAGCUAAGAGAAUUUCGCAGAACUUUUAUUUGGAUAUCUGGACCCAGUUCUGAUGCUAGCAUUUUUGUUUUAUUUAGACAAGAUGAUAAGGAUUUUCACUAAGUCAAAAGUUGGCCACCCACUCAACAAUGAGUCAUCAAAGCAAUAAUUCCGAAUUUUGGCCUAUAAAAGGAGGCAUUUGCCAUGUAUUUAGGGGCUUGGUUGUUCAGAUCAAGUUCAUGCUCUUUAUUUCUCUCUUUAUAUUUUUUGUAAUUCUUAAGCUUUGCUUUUAUUAAUUUCUUGUUUAUGCUUUUCAUUUCCUUUCCUUUCCUUAGUUAACUUGUAUUUUAUUUAUGUUCUUUUUUUAUUUAUUUAUGUUUUUCUUCUUCAUUAUGUUUAGCUAAGUUUAUUAUGUCAAGGUGAAAAGGUUACACUAAUGGUGUAAGAACAAGUAUGGUGUAAACUCAAUAUGGACCUUAAUGUUUAAUAUUAACAUGUCUUAUCUUUUUAUCUUACUAAUUCUUAAUACCUUGCUUGUUAAAUGGUUAAUCUAAAUUUGUGUUGUAUAAUACUUGGUACAACAAAUGCUUGGCACUCUCAUAACCCAACCGUAUGGUAUUACCUACACCUGGGGCUAUGAAAGGUACUUGAUUUGUUGUUAACAUCAUGAAUUCCUGACAAUAUUUAAAAGUUUGGUGUUAUGUACAUAAGAUAAUUAAUAUGAUCAUGUUAAUAAUUUAUAAUGAGCUAUUAAUGACAAAUCAUCCGACUGGAACCUCCUUCGUGUGUGGUUUCCAAAUUGAGUAAUAAGAGUUUAAUACUAUACUUGUUGGAAAUACCAUUGGUGGAUCCUCUAACCUUGACAUUUGUCUUUAUUAUUGUUUAAUCCUUACAUUAAUCUUCCAUCUCAAAGUUCUCAUUAAUUUCUUCCUGCUUUUCUUAUUAUUGUUAUUAUUGUUGUUGUUAUUGUUAUUAUUGUUGUUAUUAUUAUUAUUAUUGUUGUUGUUAUUAUUGUCUCUUCCUCCUCCUCGUCUUUUUAUUGUUAUUAUUAUUAUUAUUAUUAUUAUUAUUAUUAUUAUUAUUAUUAUUAGUAGUAUUAUUAUUAUUAUUUACAUUCUUGUUAUAUUUUAUGUACGUUAAGUAUGCUCUGUGUUUGAUCAAGGAUCCUGAUAUUGUUGAUCUUGCCUUGUUCAUUCGCAUCAGAAAUCUGUUUAUAUUAUAUAAUAUAUCUCAUUGAUCUUUUCAUAAACUCAGUAUAUAGGCUGGAAACCUGUGACCCGAUCUUUUAGAUCAUUCUCAGGUAUAACAACGCCACGUAUUGAGUAUUAUUAUUAGUAUUAGUAUUAUUAUUAUUAGUAUUAUUAUUAUUAUUAUUAUUAUUAUUAUUACUAGUACUACUAUUACUAUUACUAUUUACUAUUAUUAUUAUUAUUAUUAUUAUUAUUAUUAUUAUUAUUAUUCUUGUUGUUGUUGUUAUUUUUGUUAUUAUUAUUAUUGUUGUUGUCUUGUUAUUUAUAAUUUAUACAAUUAACCUCUCUGUGGUUCGACCCCGAUCUUGCCGGGUUAUUUAUUACUUCGACACUCCUACACUUGGGAGAAGACAUCAAUCUUUUGGUCGUGUCACAACGCCAGAGUUGGAAUUAUCCGUAGUUAAAUAUUCACUGGCGCCAGAGUCAGGAAUAUUGCGAAUAAACCAUCAGAGCAUAAACCAAUAAAAAUUUAGUAAUUUAAGAUAAAACAAGCAAUGCAGUUUGCCUUAGGCAGAACGUUUAAGGGGUGAUAAUAUCUUUCCUUUUACGUAACCAGUCCCGAACCAUAGAAUCUCUGUUGACCAGUUAGGGUUCCUAGUGACCAUAAUACUAGGUGGCGACUCCUUAAUCAAGAUAUUUUUUUUUAAAGAACAAGAUGCCGGAAAUCUAUCAUUUUUUCAUAAUCGAGAAUUAUUUUUAGAGCCACUGCGAUGUUGGGUGCGACAAAUGGUAUGAGUGAAAGAAAAAAAGGAGCAUUAUGGAAAUGACUAGAUUCAUGUUAAAUGAAAAAGAGUUGUCGAAAAAACCAUGGGCUGAAGCUGCAAACACAUUGGUGUAUUUGCUGAACAGAAUGCCAACUAGUGCGUUGCAGAAAAGAACUUCAUUUGAAGCUUGGUUUGGAUACAAACCAGACUUCUAACAUUUAAAAAAAUUUGGUCGCCCUUGUUUCACAUAUGUGCCACAAGUUAAAAGAGACAAAUUGGAUAAGGAGGAUGAAUCAUGAGUGUUCAUUGGAUACAACAAUCCAUCAAAAGCUUAAAGAAUCUUCCAACCUCAAAAUAGAAAAAUUCUAGUAAGCAAAGAUGUUAACUUCAUGGAAGAUAAAUAAUGGAAAUUGGAGGAACCAAAAGAGAAGCAAGAAUCCUCAAAAGAGAAGCAAGAAUCUUCAACUUGGGAGAUUAUUAAUGACCUGUAUUGAUGAUGAGCCGGUCAAAGGUACAAGAUCCUUAUAUUAGAUUUAUGAAAGUAGCAACAUUGCUAUUUAUGAGCCUGUAGAAUUUAAAAAGGUAGUGAAGAACAACGAAUGGAUUAAAACAAUGAAAAAGGAACUUAGAAUGAUUGAAAAGAAUGAUACCUAGGUGCUGAUGGAAAAACCCUUACAUAAAAAGGCCAUAGGAAUCAAAAGGGUUUAUAGAGCCAAACAAAAUACAGAUGGUUAUAUAAACAAAUACAAAGCUAGAUUAGUUGUGAAGGGCUAUACUCAAGUGUUUGGAGUGGAUUUCUUAAAAAAUUUUGUGCCGGUAGCAAGACUUGAUACAAUUAGAUUGCUACUUGCAUUGUCUGCAUAAAAGGAUUGGAAAUUGUAUCAGUUAUAUGUAAAAUAUGCUUUCUUAGGAUAUUAGCAGGAGGAGAUUUUCAUAGAAAAACCACAAGGUUUUGAAGUCAAGGGGAAAGAAGAGAAGGUCUAUCUGUUAAAGAAGGCAUUAUAUGGCUCUAAACAGGCUCCUAGAGCAUGGGUAUAACAGAAUUUAUGAGCAUCUACAUAAACUUGGCUUUGUCAAAAGUCCAAGUGAGGCCACAUUGUAUGUAAAAGGAAAUAAUGAAAACUGUAACAGGAAGUGAUAAGACACUAAUAGAAGAGUUCAUGGCUAAAAUGUUCAAUAUAUUUGAGAUGACAGACCUUGGUUUGAUGUCUUACUUCCUUAAAAUGGAGGUGAAACAAAGCAAUGAUGGAAUCUUCAUAUAUCAGAAAAAGUAUGCUAAGAAGAUCUUGAAAAAGUUUCACAUAGAGAACUACAAAAGCACAAGCACUCCUAUGAAUAUAAAGGAAAAAUUCAGUAAGAAUGAUGGAAUAAACAAAGUAAAUGAAGGUCAAUACAGAAGCUUAAUUGGGUGUUUGAUGUAUCUUACAUCAACAAGACUUGAUUUUGCAUUUGCUGUAAGUUUGCUCUCACGGUUCAUGCAUUGUGCAAGUGAAUUACAUUUUCAAGGUGCCAAAAAGAUUAUGAGAUAUAUCAAGGGUAUAUAAAAUUCUCUCAUUUUCAAAUUUUUUUGCUUUAUGGCUAUUCUGAAAAUAACUAGGCAGGACCUUUGGAUGAUACGAAAAGCACUUCGAGCUAUUAUUUUAUCUUCAUAUUAGGCAUGUUCUCUUGGUUUUAAAGGAAGCUAGAUGUGGUUUCUCAAAGCACAGCUGAGGUUGAAUAUAUAGUAGCUACUAUUGUUGUAAAUUAAGCAAUUUGGAUAAGAAAAAGACUUGCAGAUUUGCACAUGGGUCAACUUGAGCCAACACAAAUUUAUGUUGACAAUCAAGCUGUAAUUUUUAUUGCAAAUAAUCCUAUUUUUUAUGGCAGGACUAAGCACUUUAAAAUCAAGUUAAAUUUUUUAAGAGAAGUUUAGGAAGAAGAAGUUACUUUGCUUUAUUGUAGAACCAAUGACCAAAUUGCAGACGUUUUGACUAAAACUCUUUCAAAAGCAAGUUUUGAAGAGCUAAGAAGUAAACUAAGUGUCUGUAGUAGUUAAGACAAGGAGGAGUGUUAAAAGAAUGCCUUAAAAGUUGUAAAAGAUCAGGAGAUUUUGUUGUUGAAGGUCUCUACUUGAAGACCAAGUCUUUAAAAAUAAAUCUAAUUAUCUUUGAUUUGUUUAUCAUGUAAUUUUCAAAAUUAAUAAUCUUUGCUUCUAACUAAAACUCCAUCUCUAUUUAAGAGUGUUAUGCAAUCAAUAAAAUCAUUUUCCUUAUUUUCGUUCAUUCUGCUAUUAUUUAUGUUCAUGUUCUGCAUUUAGUUUAAAACAAUUAACACAUGUAAAUAUCCUGAUCCAACUCAAAAUUCUGAAAGUUUCACCUCCUUAUUUCAGAAAGUGUAAAGCAACUACACAACACCAAAUAAAUCUUUCAAGAAUAAAUAAGAAGAUGGUUAUAGAUUCUAUCUCCAGAAACCAAGGAAUGAAUAGCUUCCUCAAAUCUCCAUAUUCUUUGUUGCACGUGUGUGGCGUCGCGAUGAUCGUCCACUCUCACAGGUAUCCAUAUCUGAAAAAUAUAGAGAAACAAGGAAUUUUUGUCUUUUAUCAGUGGAAAAUUUGAAUGAGAGUCUCCAUAUAGUAUUUUGAUCACUAGGAACCCUAACUGAUCUCAGAGAUCGGGCACAAGGAUUGGUUGCGUAAAGAAAUGAUAUUAACACCUCAAAUACCAUUGUGGCUGGUUGGAGGAAUGUGCAUAAUAAAUCACAUGUGCCUGAGGAUGGUACUUCCAAGGACUUUGAAUUAACUUUCUCUCAGAAAGAUAUGGAUCAUGGCAUGGAGAGGCCAAAAGCAUCAAAACCAGCUGCUACUCAUUUAUUUCAAGAUGAGGCUUUUAGUACUUUUGUUGCUGAAUUUGAUAGCAAUAAGCUCAACCCAAGAGUUAGUAAUAACAAAGAAGGAAAGGAAGAAGCACUAGAGGCUGAAAUAGAGAGGCUUAAAGAGCAGCUGAAGCAGGUAAACUCUGAGAAGGCCGAAAUAACUUUGAAAUUUGAAAAGCUAUCUGCCAUUUGUCGAUCUCAGAGACAGGAGAUACAGGAGCUCAAGCAAACACUAGCUGCAAGAACUCCUUCGCCGAAUAAAUUAUUAUUUAUUCUGUUUUUUUUUUAGCAAAACAAUUAGUUACUUUUCUUUCCAAAAUAUUCCUCUCUAUAUAUAAAUUGAAAGAAACCUAAACGGCUAUUUUCUAGAAAACUAGCUUUUAUCGAGCUAACAGUCAUAAACAGUCAAAGGUUAUGAAACUAGACGGAUUAAUUAUUAUUUCGGUGACAAACCUGCGGAUUAUAUCAUUAUUUGCUCUUAGUUUGCUUAGAUACAAUAAUGGCUGUUUUAGAAAGGAAGGGGGUAUAAAGGCAGAAUGCUUAUACUUGAUAAAAUGCUGCAGUCGUCUGAAAACCUUCGUCUCCCAUUCCCAUAUAUAUAUAGUUGCAUAAUUCUAAAGGAGGGGUUUGGAUUUGGAAAGAAACCAUGAACUCCUGAAGAUUAAAACAAUCAUUUUUAAAAGGUCAAUAAAGAAGGUUUAAUUCUAACAAUCUUAGUUUUGUACAUUCUGUAUGAUACCAUUUGACAGAGACGCUUUGAUCGAACUGUCAGGAGAUAAAAGUAUUGCUGCCAUGAACUCUCUGAUUCCACUGCUUCCAAAUGCCUUAUAUAGUUGCAAUCCUAGCCAGCACAGAUUCAAAUGAUCUCUUCUUCAAGUGUGCUGCAGCCCGAAUACAGAUGAUUCUCGUAUAUGGUUUUCAACAAUGUUGGAUAACUACUUAAUGGCAAUUGCAUGCGUUUGCUGUCUGGAUUCAUGAUCGGCAACGCAUAAAUGGUAUUGUAAGGACAUUCCUCAUUUACACUAAAUCUUUAAACAAACAUAUCAAAAUACAUAUUAUUUUAUAAUUUCUCAAAAUAUUAUAUUAUUCAGAGCUAAUAUAACUAAAUAAUAAUUCAAAAAUUCUCAUCAGUAAUUAAAACAAAAACAAUAACCCAUAAUACUCAUUACAUUGUUCAUAUCCAAACUUUAUUAAAACAUGGUAAUAAUGAAGCGUCUAAGACAUUGAAUUAAAAAAAAAAAAGCUUCGUGAAAUAAAUAAGGCAUACCAACCAAAAUUAAAAGAGUAAGAAUACUUGACAAGUACAUCUAUUAACAGAAACUAAAAACCUAAUAUAAUAUUAAGAAAUUAUAGGUGAGUUCAACCAAUUCAGUGAAGAAAUAAAUUUAAUAUAUAUUUUAGAUAUUAAUAGUUUGCAAGUAGAUUUAUCUUGAUAUACAUAUACAUGCUAAGAAAAUUAUCAUAAAGAAGUAGAAUACAUAUUAAAGAUUGGAUGACACCUGAAGGUGUUCACUGUGGGAGGAUCAGUUGCUAUAGACUAAUGCCUCCCUCAUUAGCUAAGUAUACAAAUGCUAUGUGAGGCACCAAAUGUAAUUUUUCAAAAUUCAAGGACUAAACUGUAAAUCUAUAAAAUUAAGGGUCUAAAUUAAAAAUUAUAUAAAUCAAUUAUCAAAUUGAGAUUCAUCAUCCUUAACAUUGUAAGAAUAUUUCCCAGAAUUCCAAAAUAUGUUUCAGGGUCAAAUAUAAUUUUCUAAAGUUUAGGGACUAAAUUAUAAUUUUUAUAAAUCAAGGAUUAAAAUAAAAUUUUAUCAUUUUCAACCUCAAGACUAUUAUGUCUAGAUUUUCCAUCAAAUCUGAAACAAAUUUCUUAACCAGUAACAAAUCAAUUUACAAAUUUUUAUUUUUAAUAACACAUUUAAAAUCAAUCACUUAACUUUAAACUUAUAAUAAUCAUGAAUCAAUCUUAACAACACAAACUUCAAAUCUUUAUAAACCAUAAUCUCUUCUUUAAUCAUUUCACAAAGAAACUAUAAUCAAAAGUAACAUAGGUAGAACCACUUACUUAUUAUUUCUAUCUUUUUUAAAUUAAUAAAACUCAAGAUUAAAAACUAAAUUUUUUUGGUUUAAUGAUGGAAAGGUCAUAGCAAUUACAAAAAUUAGAUAAGAAAAAAAACAAUUUUUUUACAACAUUUUUCUAUAUUUCCUAGUUAACUCAGGUUAGAUUUGGACUAAACAUUUGGUUUCAUAUUUGUGUUGACUAUUAUCUUAGUAAUAAAAUGAAUUUAGUUUUUGAAUGAAUUUUAAUAAUUUUAAAAUAAGAGGUAAAAUAAAAUAAUAGUGAAAUGUAACUAGUGAGAUAUCGUUUGUGCUUUUUCUUAGGACUUAUUAGGGCCUUUCCUCGUUUUUUCGUAAUUAAUUAAGUAGUAUUGCCGGCAAUUCAUUGGUUAGGAGCGAAGAGGUCUGGAACAAAGAGUAUAGAUUUAUAGAUUCAAGGGCCAAUAUAGAAAAGGAAGGAAUCAUGGAGCCUGUGCUUGAUAAAAUGCUUCCUCUAGUCAUCUGAAAAACCUUCUUCUCCCUCUCAAGCUUAGAAAAUAUAUGAAAAUAUAAUUAUGAUUAUUUUUUAAACUUAUUUUUAAUAUUAACAUUUCAAAAUGAUAUAAAAAUAUAAAAAAAUAUUAAUUUAAAAUAAUUUUUUUUUUUUUUAAAAAAACACGUUGUUCAAAGAAUUAGAAAAAUGGAACAUGCAUUUAAAAGUCAUCAGUCAGAAAUUAAGUCUUGACUAUUGUUCUUGAUGAAAAAUCCAGACAUUAGUUGCUGUCCAAAGAAGAAAAAAGAUUGACUAGUCCAUGAAUUGAACAGUCUUUGUCUCUAUCAUAAGAAAUCAAUACGCAACUACUCUUGCUACUCUAUUUUCUCUGGCCUUUACUCCAUUACUGUUCCUAAGGAUUUUAGGGUGUUGUCGUAAAAACAUCCCUUGCUGGAAAGUUAAUUUUUUUAGAAAGUAAUUUUUAUAGAAAAUAAUUUUUUUAAAAAUAAAUUAGUUUUUAAUGUUAGACAGUAUUAUGAAAAAUAAAUUUAAAAAUCUUUUUUAAUAUAAUUAUGCCAUGAAAAAUAAAUUAAAAAAUAACUUUUUAAUUUUUUUUAAAACAAUUAAAAAAAAAGAAAAUGAAAAGGAACAGAAACACUUGAAAAUUAAGAAAGAAAACAAAAUCAUUCUUAUGAGUCAACAAAGAAAGGCUUUCCAUGAUUCCUUGCCUUUCUCCAGAAGUCUCUUGAGAGUAACAGACACCAGCCUAUGUUAUGUUGACAACAUUAUGCAUGAGCUGUCCAGGAGAAAAGUCUGAUCAGCAUCUAUAUGUAUUCUGCAUUAGCUCUUCAAACUGAUACAUUGCUAAGUCCGAACUCCUCUGAAAAUGGCUUUUCCUUGUUUUAGGACUACCCUCAACCUCUUGCUGUUUCUUGUUCUGACACCUUCUGUGUUUGCCCAAACUCCUCCUAAUGUUACUUUGGGUUCAUACCUUAUUGCUUCUGAUACAUCAGUUCCAUGGAAGUCCCCUUCUGGUGAAUUUGCUUUUGGAUUCCACCAAAUCAACAAUCAAAAACUUUUCUUGCUUGGCAUCUGGUUCGAUACAAUACCGGAGAAAACAUUAGUUUGGUAUGCAAACGGAGAUGAUAUGUCACCUGAAGGGUCGAAGGUCGAGCUUACUCUUGAUGGUAGUUUCAGACUUACCAGUCCUCAAGGACGAGAAAUAUGACGAGCUGGUGAAGGCUGAUGAGGAGGUAAAAAAUGACAUGACGACGUUGGAGAGGUUAGUGAUGGUGUCAAUUUGGUGCAUACAAGAGGAUCCUUCUCUUAGACCUUCUAUGAGGACAGUCACACAAAUGCUUGAAGGAAUUGUUCAAGUUUCUGUACCCCCAUGUCCUUCCCCUUUCAGUUCAAUCUGCUAAGAAAAACCAGUUCCAAAUUAUUCUCUCCUCACUUUCUCAUCAUUAAAUUUGCUUCGCAAGUCAUGUUGUUGAAAGAAUGCCUUAAAAGCUGCAGAAAACCAGGAGACUUCGUUGCUGUAGAAGAUCAGGAGAUUUUACUGUUGAAGGUCUUUUCUUGAAGGCCAAGUUUUUAGCAAUAAAUAUGAUUGCAUUUGAAUGAUGUUUGUUUUGAACUAAAACUCUAUCUCUAUUUAAGAGUGUUAUGCAAUUAAUAAAAUCAUCUUUCUUAUAUGUUCAUGUUCUGCACUUAGUGUAAAACAAUUAAUAAAUUGGUAUCAGAGUCAUAAUUAUCUUAAAAAACUUGUGAGUUGAGAGAACCAAAACACAAACCAAACCAUAAAUACAAAAUAAAAAAACACAAAAAUAGAAACUGAAACAAUCAUCUCACACGGUUCACCACCAAUCUUCAAUGGUGAUAACUAUAAAGCUUGGGCCAUCAAAAUGUCAAUUUCUUAAAAACUAUGUUGUUCCUGAUUUACCUACAAAUCCACCAAUAGCUCAACUAAAGAUUCAUAAGGAAAAAAAAGACAAGGAAGUCCAAAGCUAAAGUUUGCUUAUGUGUUGCAAUAUCAAACAUAAUAUUCACAAGAAUCAUGAAUUAUGAAUAGAAUCAUGAAUUAGGAAUUUGUAGAAAAUAUUUGGGACUAUCUUUAAAAAGAAUAUCAGUGCAAUGAAAGAACUAAAAAUAUGCAGACUCUCAACUUAAUCAAAGAAUUUGAAAUGUAGAAGAUCAAGGAGACAUAAAACAUGAAAGAUUAUGCUGACAAUUUACUAAGCAUAAUAAACAACGUAAGAUUGCUUGGACUUUGAUAACAAUUGUUAUUUUAGAAUUAAGGCAAUAAUAACAGCUAAGGGGGUAAAUUAGAUGUUUUACUAAUAAUAACAAUUAUUGCAAUUAACUCAAUUAAACACAAUUAACACAACUAACCAACAAUAUGAUUAAGGUGUUUAAAGUAAAGAGUAUAGAGAUAGAAAUUGCAAACUCGAUUUUUAACGUGGUUUGACAAAUCUAUAUCCACACCUUAAGAACCAAACCGAUAUUUAAUAUUUUAUAUUUUACUAAUCCAAGCCAAAAAUUACAAUGUCCUUAAUGAAUCCUCACCAAACUCCUUUUCACCACUUGAAGAAACACCCUCUUCAAGAAUCUUCACCUUGGUAAUAUACCUCACCAAUGACCAAUAAAUUUUCACUUAAACUCUUUAAGGGUUACAAUUGUUUGAAAUGUAACAACACUCCCUCAAAGAGUAAAUAAUACAAGUGAAGCUUAUAUCUUUAUAACUCACUCAAUAAUACUAAGAAUGUAUGAAGGUGUUUAAGUGUAGUAAGUGUGUGAAUUUAUAUUGUUGUGGAAUAAUAUAAAGGUUUUAAUGCACAAAUAUGAGUAUGAUUUAUGAUUUAAAGUUUUAUUUGCUCUUAAAAUAGCUUUUAUAUAAUAUAUAUUCAAAUUUUGUGCUUAAUUUUUCAAUUAGACAAACUAUAUAUAUAUGUUUUUAGGAAGAAAAAAAAAGUUGUUUUAUAGCCAUCACUAUUCCUCUAACAGCUAAAAUGAUCGAUCAGUUCAGAUUGGUCAAUUCAAUCGGUUGAUCUAUUUCAACAGAUUCCUAGGUGUUCGACCCUGAUGAAUAAGUUGUUGAUUGGUUCAACUUAAUAUCUAAUUUUAACAAUCUUAAGCCUGAUGAAUCUUAAACUAACUAAAUGCAUAUCAAUCCUAUAAUGCAUACAAUAUGAAGUAUGUAAAUUCAUUUUAAUUUGUGCUAUCAAAUAAGAUAUAAAGAUUUACAUAGUAAACACAAAAUAAAUGCUUAAGAAUUAAGUCUUCACUUGUUUUGUAUCUUGAACUUGUUGAUUUAUUUCUUCAUUUAAUUAUUUAUGCUUGUUGAUGAUCUUCUUGUAAAUCUGUUUACACUUAAACUCAAUCAAACAUAUUAUUAGUCUAUUUUUAUUUAAUUAUUAUCAUCAAAAUAUAUAAAUAUUAAUAUAUGACCUAAAAGUCAACAUCUUUUGCCAUUUUUGCUGUUGAUCUUAGGCAUAAAAAGGAGAGGGGUUAUUUUUUUUUCUAUAUAUAUAUAUAUAAAAUUUCCCCUCUCUCUUUUUUUAAUAGUUUAAUCCAGCUAAAAUUCUAAUCGUGGGUAGUUUUACUUAUUGUUUAUCAUUAUCUUUGAGCUAUAAUUUCUCACUUUGUAUAUAGACAAAUUCUACAUUCCACAUUCUAAGUAAUUUUUUUUUAAACCCCUUAUCUUUCAACUUAAAAUUUUAUUUUAUUGUUAUAAAUUUUCAGGUUAGGGUUUAUAAUUUUAAUAAAAAUAAUUGACUCAGAUACCCACGAGUUGACCCUAUAACCUAAUAAUAGACAAUUGACACUUUAUUAGCUCUAAAUAAUGUUAUAUAAUCAAUUUCAACGAAUAAAAUAUAAAAAAUAGCUAAAAUGUAAUCUUCAAUGAUAAUUAAUUAUUAAAAUAAAAAAUAAAGUAUGUUACAUGUCUCUUACUUUUCUAAGAUAUAACCUUCAAGAAUUACAUUUUAUAAUUAAUUAAAAUAAAAAUAAAAAUAAAAAUAAAAUAAAAUAUUGAACAACUCAAUUUUUCACUUCAAAACAAAUAAUUGUGUUGUACGUUUUAAUUUACCUAAGAAUUAUAUUUUAUAGUCAAAUACUAAAUAAUAUUUUAUAACUUAUUUCUUAUGACAUUAUCAAGUAUUAAAAAAAUAAUCAAUUUUUUUUAUAAAAAUCACUUUCUAAAAAAAAAAUAACUUUCCAAUAAAUUAACAGGGCUAUGUGUAUUUUUUCACACCUUAAGGUAUAUUUUUGGUACCAUCAAGGAGCUUACAAAGGUUUGCCAUCAUUAAAAAAAAAAAAAAAAACACCUCCCUUUUUACCAUAUAUUUCAAAUCUAAUCCUUACACGUCCUCUUUCAAGACUCACUUCACCUUCACUGUCAUUAUUUUUCCUUGGGAUUAAGGAUAACAACAAAAUCCUUUUCGAAGUCUCAACAACAUAUUCAUGUUAAACCAAAUUAAUUCAUGAAACUUGUGAUUUGUAGCUUAACGUAGGAUGAGUUUUAAACUAAGUAAAUUAAAAACAUUGACCCAAUUAAGUCAGUUUUGACCCAAUCAUGUUUCUAAUAUUAUAGUUGACUUUACAAACCCAAUCAUACAACAUCAAAAAUUUUAAAACAAUAAAUUAAUAAUAUUUUAAUAAAAUUAUUUAACUUAUUGACAUGCAAGUUAAUCCUAUAUCCUAAUGACAAAGACUUUUUCUUGAGAUGAAUCCCAACGUAGGUCCAACAACAAUGCAUCUAUCUACUCCUUAAUUAUAUAUAAAAGUCAAAGAUAAUAAUGGUAAAUUAUAGACAAGUGACCCAUUAUCAACUCCAAAUAAUAUCAUAUCAUCAAUUCCAAUAAAUAAAAAAAGCUAAAAUGUAAUAUUAAUUUAAUGAUAAUUAAUUGUUAAAAUAAAGUAUAUUACAUGUCUUUUUCUAAGAUAUAGCCUAUAAAAAUCACAUCUUAGUUUAUUGUAUAUGUAAGUUACACCUUUGCAUUCAUCCACAACAGUUACUGUUUAUUUCUUCUCAUUGGUCCAAAGAUUAGACCGAUGUUGGUGCAAUUUGAUUAGACGGCAGAUUUCAAGGAAAUUAUGACCCAUCAUUUGUCCGAGGGUGAAACACCUUAGCUUUCAUCUAACCUAGCAAGCCACGCCAAGGGUAUCUGACACGUAGCUUGUCAAAUUAUUCCUAAAUGCUGCAUGUAAAUUAAGAUAGGAGAGGUGGCUAUACGCUUACUCGAACUCUCCACCACCGAGUUCUUUGCCGAUUCCUAAGUUUUCAAUGAGGCCACCAGAGCGAGCCAACUGCCAACUCUGCACCAGCUUCCCCCUCAAGAAAGAGCUCAUAUUUUUGUCGUUGAACCACAGGUUGCUUCGGAGUGUGUUUUACCACCGACAAACUUUAUUGAAAGCGAUUAAAAUUUUAAAUAAAAGUAUCAAAUAAAAAAAUAAAAAAUUAAUAGAAUAAAAACUGAAAUAUGCAUGAGCUGUCCAGGAAAAAAGUCUCAGCAUCUAUAUGUAUUCUCUGCAUUAGCUCUGCAUUAAUAGACUCCUCUGAAAAUGGUUUUUCCUUGUUUUAGGACUGCCCUCAACCUCUUGCUGUUUCUUGUUCUGACACCUUCUGUGCUUGCCCAAACUCCUCCUAAUGUUACUUUGGGUUCGUACCUUAUUGCUUCUGAUACAUCAGUUCCAUGGAAGUCCCCUUCUGGUGAAUUUGCUUUUGGAUUCCACCAAAUCAACAAUCAAAAACUUUUCUUGCUUGGCAUCUGGUUCGAUACAAUACCGGAGAAAACAUUAGUUUGGUAUGCAAACGGAGAUGAUAUGGCACCUGAAGGAUCGAAGGUCGAGCUUACUCUUGAUGGUAGUUUCAGACUUACCAGUCCUCAAGGACGAGAAAUAUGGAAGCCUCAAUCUUCAGUAGAUGGAGUUGCUUAUGCUGCCCUACUCAACAACGGCAACUUUAUCCUCGCAGAUAAUAGUUCCAAGUCUUUGUGGGAAACCUUCAAGGAUCCCCGUGAUACCAUGCUGCCAACUCAAAUACUUGAAGUUGGUGGAAAGUUAUCGUCCCGGCUAAAGGAAAGUAGCUACUCUAAGGGAAGGUACCUGCUUCGCUUGCAACCAAAUGAUGGGAGUAUUUUGCUCAACCUACUUGCCUUGCCAACAGGUUAUGAAUAUGGGACUUAUUUUAAGAGCAAUACUUCUGAUGAUGCUUCAACACAGAAUUCUGGCUAUCAGUUAGUCUUUGACGGGUCAGGUCACCUCAAUGUUCUCCAAGACAGCAGAAGUGUUGUUAACCUCACCAAGGGAAGAGAUUCUCCAGCCGGAGAUUACUUUUACAGGGCGACGCUUGAUGUUGAUGGACUUUUUACUCUGUAUGCUCAUCCCAGGGCUCAAACAAAUGGUACAUGGGCACAGACAUGGGUUGCUAUUUGGUCAGUCCCGGACAAUAUAUGUACUGAUAGUAAUGGUGACUUGGGUGGUGGUCCUUGUGGAUAUAACAGCUACUGUAAACUUGGCGCAAACCGAAGGCCUAGCUGUGAAUGCCUUCCUGGGUUUUCCCUCUCCGAUACCAGCAACGAGUUCGGUGGCUGCCAGCUGAACUUAAUGCCAAAUUGUGAGCAAGGAAAAUCAAAGCCAGAGGAUUUAUAUGCACUGCAAGAGGUGCUAAAUACAUAUUGGCCAUCUUCUUCAAACUACGAACAAUUGCAGUCACUAAAUGAAGAUGAGUGUGGACGAUUGUGCCUCUCUGAUUGUAACUGUGUUGUUGCUGUCAUCAAAGAGGGGACCUGUUGGAAGAAGAAAAUGCCACUUUCAAAUGGAAGGCAAGACUAUAGUAUCUAUGGGAAGGCUCUAGUUAAGGUAAGUAAAUAUGCUGUUUCUUUAGACGAUCCCUCUCGGCGAAAGUCAAAUACGGGGAACAAGGAUCAAAGAACUUUACUUCUGGGAGGAGCAAUUCUUCUAGGUAGCUCAGCACUACUUAUUUUCCUAUUUAUAGUAGCAGUAUCUCUGUUUCUGCUCCAACCACACAAUAGAAGAAGGAAACUUACCAGAUCAUCUAGCAUUCUGGAAACAAAUCUACGCAGUUUUACGUAUAAGGACCUGACAGAAGCCACGGAUGGAUUUAGAGAGCAGCUUGGACGAGGUUCGUUUGGAACUGUAUAUAAAGGACUAUUAACAUCACAGAGUUCAAGAAACUAUGUUGCAGUUAAGAAGUUGGAGAGGAUGGUGCAAGAAGGCGAGAAGGAAUUCAAAACAGAAGCAAGAGCGAUAGCCAAGACUCACCACAAGAAUUUGGUCAGAUUGCUUGGAUUCUGUGAUGAAGGGCCAAACAGGCUUUUGGUCUAUGAGUUUAUGAGCAAUGGAACCUUAGCUGGUUUCCUAUUUGGAAUUUCCAGACCUGACUGGAACAAACGCAUUCAAAUGGCAUUCGGCAUUGCACGAGCGCUUACAUACUUGCACGAGGAGUGUAGCACACAGAUUAUCCAUUGCGACAUCAAGCCCCAAAACAUACUCCUUGACGACACAUUUACAGCAAGAAUCUCAGACUUUGGACUGGCAAAGCUCUUAAUGAAUGAACAAACACGCACACAUACAGCUAUUAGAGGGACCCGAGGAUAUGUCGCACCAGAGUGGUUCAAGAACAUGCCAAUUACAGCAAAAGUAGAUGUUUAUAGUUAUGGGAUCAUGCUAUUGGAGAUAUUUGUUGCAGAAAGAGCCUUGAUAUGGAAAGUGAGAAAGAAGAGGAGAUCAUACUAGCAGACUGGGCCCAUGACUGCUAUAAACGAGGAAAAUUAGACGAGCUGGUGAAGGCUGACGAGGACGCGAAAAAUGACAUGAAGACGUUGGAGAGGUUAGUGAUGAUGUCAAUUUGGUGCAUACAAGAGGAUCCUUCUCUUAGACCUUCUAUGAGGACAGUUACACAAAUGCUUGAAGGAAUUGUUCAAGUUUCUGUCCCCCCAUGUCCUUCCCCUUUCAGUUCAAUCUGCUAAGAAAUACCAGUUCCAAAUUAUUCUCUCCUCACUUUCUCAUCAUUAAAUUUGCUUUGCAAGUCAUGUUGUUGAAGAAUGCCUCAAAAGCUGCAGGAAACCAGGAGGCUUCGUUGCUGCAUGCAGAAGAUCAGGAGAUUUUACUGUUGAAGGUCUCUUAUUGAAGACCAAGUUUUUAGGAAUAAAUCUAAUUGUAUUUGAAUAGUCUUUGCUUUGAACUAAAACUCUAUCUUUAUUUAAGAGUGUUAUGCAAUUAAUAAAAUCAUCUUUCUUAUUUUUCUUCAUUAUACUAUUAUUUAUGUUCAUGUUCUUCUGCACUUAGUGUAAAACAAUUAACAAAUUAGACGCUGUUUGGCGUUGUGGUUGCGUAUGAGGUUGAGGGGCAACCACAAUGCCGUGUGUUUGGUAAAUUUUAAACGGGGGUGUGUUUUGGUGGGACCCACCAGAAAAGUGUGUCCGAAAAUGUGGUUUAUCAAAAGCACGAGAAUAAUGCUUCUCAUCAACCUCAGUUUCACUCCGACCACAAGAAAAAAAACUGAAAAAACAGCCAACGGCUAAAAUCAAACUUCUCCUCCCCGAUUCAUAAAAACAAAAAUUCCAGAGAAAAAGUUAAGAACAUUCCAGCAAUGGAAAAACACACUUGUUGCCAUUUGAGGAAAAUAUAAAAAUGUCCCAAACUCCCCGAAUCGGGGAAAAAAUCCUUGAAAAAAUUCUACCAGCCCAUCGCCCAUAAAUAGCCGUUGGAGGAGAAUCAAACUUCCCAGUUCCUCCCCGAAUCGUCAACAAAAGCAGAGCAUCAACGAACCAACGGUGAAGCUUCAUUGUUUUCGGUCAGAUCUGGCUCAUCCCUCUGAGAAGAAAAUCGCAGAUCUCUCUCCGCCGACCAUCUUCUAUCAACUAAUGUGGAAACGAAUUUCCCUUUCUUUUUUCUACCCAAGACGCGCUUCCAUGUUGAUCCUGUAGAGAUCUGUUGAGGUAUGUUUCUCAUUUUUUCUUUUUCUUUAACAGUUAGGAGUAAUGUUGAUGCUGUGCUGAACUUCUUCAAAAUUAUUAGACGAUCUAGGCUUCUAUGUGUUGUAGUUGCCGAAAGAAUUUAUUUGCAUCUAGGUUGUCUGUUGUGUUCCCGUGAUCUUGUGGUUGUGGUUAUGCAGUGUAUGCUUGCAUUUGAUUUCACAGUGAAUUAUUUUUGUCAAAUCAGCUGAACUUGUUCAACAUUGGUUCUGGGCUUGUCUCUGUGUUGUAUUAGUCGAAAUUAGAAUAUAUUUGGUCACAAUAAGUUGUUAAUUUUAUUGGUUAUCUGUUACGGUUCCCCUGAUCUUGCAUCCAAAAUAUGCAGUUGCCGUUUGAUGAAUUUAAGUGCAGUUUUGUGUUGGUGCAGGAGGAACAAUACCAUUAAUCCUGCAAAAUCGUCUGGCAACAAAAAAGUGAAGCUGCUAUAAAAUCGAGUAAUUUAUUUCUGUUUCUUACGUUUACAUUACUACCUGCCUAUUUGUUUGUGCUGGAAUGAAACUUUGGGUGCUGUUUGUUGUUCUUGAUUGCAAUACUAUCCAUAUGUUGUUGUCAUUUUUUUGUUAUGUAACCACAACCAUCUGGGUUUGCAUGCUGAAAUUCAAAGGCAACUGUUAGAUGCUGGAUUUAUAAUUAUCCAUAUGCUUUCCUCGGUCAUGUGCAUUUGUGGCUGUGCAAAACUUUUUGGAAAUGGAAGUCUCAACCUUUUCAUUUCAUUUUUAAUCCUCAUUGUUGAUUUUUUGAAUGCUUGUACCGUGACCAUAUAUUUGCAUUCAAUUAUAAGUCAAAUGUUUUGAAUCUUAUAACAUAGAUAUUUUUUGUUCCAAAUGUAAUUACCGAACUAGGAAUGGAUGCUCCUGAAAAUAUGGAUAAAGCAGCAUGGACGAAAGAAAUGUUGCAUGUCUUUUGUGACCUUAGCAUCAAGGCUAUCGACAUGGGAAUGCGACCAAAUACUCAUUUCGACAAAGCUAGUUAGAAAUAUUUGUUAGGAUCAUUCAAAGAACACAUUGGUCAUGCAUUUACCAAGGCACAACUUAAGAACAAAUGGGAUGGCUGCAAAAAGGAUUGGAGAAUAUGGAAGAAGCUCAUUUCUGAAACUGGUGUGGGUUGGAGUACUGAAUUAGAAACAAUUUCUUCUAGUGAUGAAUGAUGGAAAUCCAAGAUUCAGGUUAUUUGGCACGAUCCUUAAUAAUUAAUUUGUUUACAUCUGAUUUCAAUUAUUAAUAAAUUAGUCAAAGUUGCGAGAAAUAAUUUUCUUUCUUUUGUGUAGGAAAUAAGGGGUGCAAAAAAGUUUAGGCACGCUGGUAUCGAACCAUCAUUGUGUAUGAAGUUCGAUAGAAUGUUCGCAAACAUUGUUGCUACUGGUGAGUAUGCGUGGGCACCAUCAUCUGGAGUCUUACCUGAUCAUAAUGUUGGUGUUGAUGGCAGUCAACGUACACAUGUUGAACAACCCGAUUUGGAAAAAGGCAGCGGUGAUUUUGAAGAGGACGAAAUUCCAAAUUUUGAUGAUGAUGUUUGCAACAUGGUUCGAGGGGUUAAUAUGGAUACCAGUAGCAACAGCCGCAGUAGUGGGAAGAGGAAAGAAAGACAACGGGUUGAGCUUCAAGCUGGGAAAAAAAAAAGGAAUUCCGGAAUUGGGUUUCAACUACUUUUACGAUGGGAUCACAUGGUUGACAGCAUGUCAAACACUAGUGAUUCCACAUCUAUCAGUAAAGAUCGGGAAGGGUGUAGUAUUCGUGAGGUUAUGACUGAGCUUCACUUGCAUGAGGGAGUGCAUAUAGGUGAUGAUUUUCAUGGGUUUGCUACUGAGAUUUUAGGUUUGAGAAGGAAUAGAGAAAUGUGGCAAACUAUGGGUAAUAUUGAAAACAAGAUUAAAUGGUCGCGGAGAAUGUAUACACGGCGUAAAGGAUCUUAGUCCGAGAGGUGUAUAUUAAUCCCAAAUGCCUGCUUUCAUAUCUUUUUUGCUAAUAUUAUUAUUUUAAUUGUUAUUUAACAUGUUUACAUCUCAUUUCUUGUCAUUUAUUUAAAUUUGCAGGUUAUGGAAGUUGUAGAUUUCUCAAGCUGCUAUGAAGUUAUAAAUUAAGUUAACAAUUGACACUGUAAUGAGAUGACGUCUGCAAUCAAUUAUGUUAUGGACUAUUAAUAUUUAUUAUGUACGCACCAUGGAUUGUAUUUUAAUGUAGUUCGAACCUGUAAUGUUAUUUGAGAAUUGUUGAGUCUUAUUAGUUAUGAUAUGCUAUAGAACGAUUUAAUAUGAAUUAUAUAAAUUUAUGAUGUGGACAUUGCUUUUAGUUUUUAACUGUUAAAUAUGUUGGUUGAUGAUGCAAAUUAAGGGUAUUGUUUGCAAUUGACAAAACAAAUUUCGUUGAUAAAUUUAACUGCAUUGGAGAUGUACAACUACAAAAUUGAAAUUAUAUUGGAAAGGGACGGGAAGGAAACUAAAAGAAUAUGUAAAUGGUUAGACAUAUUAAAUGUAAUUGUUCAGAAAUCCUUCAACACGGUAUAUACUAACAUCAAGGUAUAAAAUGAAGUCAAGCCUUGUGUAAAAUACUGUAAUCACAUUCAAAGUGUGUUGUAACACUAUUUUUUUACACGAUGAAAAAAACAAAAGUUUGUAAAGGCCUGGUUACUGGUGUAUUGCAGUGAUAAGAAACAUUGAGUUACAACUUGCAAACUGAUAAAGCUGACUGCUGUAUAGCAGUGAUAAGAAACAUUGUUUUACAGUUUGCAAACUGAUGUAAAGCCUGGUGUCAAAUACUGUAGUCACAUGGAAACUGGUGUAUUGCAGUAAUAGACAACAUAGUUUUAUCCAAUGGGAGGAAAGCUUCACCAAAAGUUAUAGUGAACCAGCCGAAACAGAGGAAAGAAACCGAAAAAAAGAAGAAGAAGAGAAGGCAAUACAAGUCCAGGGGCACCAAACAUAGGAAACAACCCGAGAAAGAGGAAGAAGAGAGGGCAACGCAGAUUGAACAAAACAGAGGAAACAACCCGAAAAGUUGAAGAACAAAGAUUGAACAAAACAGGGGCACCAAACAGAGGAAACAACCCGAGAAAGAGGAAGAAGAGAGGGCAACGCAGAUUGAACAAAACAGCGAAAACAACCCGAAAAGUUGAAGAACAAAGAUUGAACAAAACAGGGGCAUCAAACAGAGGAAGCAAACCGAAAAAGAGGAAGAAGAUAAGGAAACACAGGCACAAAACAAGGGCACCAUCUGUGAUAACCGACCGAACCAGACGGGUGGAAACAAGAUCACACACUCCUUGACGACACAUUUCCAACAAGAAUCUCAGACUUUGGACUGGCAAAGCUCUUAAUGAAUGAACAAACACGCACACAUACAACUAUUAGAGGGACCCGAGGAUAUGUCGCACCAGAGUGGUUCAGGAACAUGCCAAUUACAGCAAAAGUAGAUGUUUAUAGUUAUGGGAUCAUGCUAUUGGAGAUCAUUUGUUGCAGAAAGAGCCUUGAUAUGGAAAGUGAGAAAGAAGAGGAGAUCAUACUAGCAGACUGGGCCCAUGACUGCUAUAAACGAGGAAAAUUAGACGAGCUGGUGAAGGCUGACGAGGACGCGAAAAAUGACAUGAAGAAAUUGGAGAGGUUAGUGAUGGUGUCAAUUUGGUGCAUACAAGAGGAUCCUUCUCUUAGACCUUCUAUGAGGACAGUCACACAAAUGCUUGAAGGAAUUGUUCAAGUUUCUGUCCCCCCAUGUCCUUCCCCUUUCAGUUCAAUCUGCUAAGAAAUACCAGUUCCAAAUUAUUCUCUCCUCACUUUCUCAUCAUUAAAUUUGCUUUGCAAGUCAUGUUGUUGAAGAAUGCCUCAAAAGCUGCAGAAAACCAGGAGACUUCGUUGCUGCAGAAGAUCAGGAGAUUUUACUGUUGAAGGUCUCUUAUUGAAGACCAAGUUUUUAGGAAUAAAUCUAAUUGUAUUUGAAUAGUCUUUCUAUCUUUAUUUAAGAGUGUUAUGCAAUUAAUAAAAUUAUCUUUUUUAUUUUUCUUCAUUAUACUAUUAUUUAUGUUCAUGUUCUGCAUUUAGUGUAAAACAAUUAACAAAUAGAUAUGAGAGUCAUAAUUAUCUUGAGGGACUUUUGAGUUGAGAAAACCAAAACACAAACCAAACCAUAAAUACAAAAUCAAAAAACACAAAAAUAGAAACUGAAACAAUCAUCUCACACGGUUCACCACUAAUCUUCAAUGGUGAUAACUAUGAAGCUUGGGCCAUCAAAAUAACAGUUCCUUAAAAACUAUGUUGUUCCUGAUUUACCUACAAAUCCAACAAUAGCUCAACUAAAGAUUCAUAAGGAAAAAAAAACAAGGAAGUCCAAAGCUAAAGCUUGCUUAUGUGUUGUAGCGUCAAACAUAAUAUUCACAAGAAUCAUGAAUUAGGAAUCUACAGAAGGUAUUUGGGACUAUCUUAAAAAAGAAUAUCAGUGUAAUGAAAGAACUAAAAAUAUGCAGGCUCUCAACUUAAUCAAAGAAUUUGAAAUGUAAAAGAUGAAUGAGACAUAAAACAUCAAAGAUUAUGCUGAUAAAUUACUAAGCAUAAUAAACAACGUAAGAUUGCUUGGAAAUGAAUUUUUUGAUGACCGAAUUGUGCAAAAGAUAUUAGUAACCAUGCCUGAAAAAUACGAGUUUAAGAUUUCUUCAUUAGAAGAGUCAAAAGACUUGACCAAUAUAUCUCUUGGAGAAAUGAUAAAUGCAUUGCAGGCACAAAAGCAAAGAAGAUUGAUGAGACAUGAGGAAACAAUGCAGGGAGCCUUUCAAGCAAGUGCUUAAUACCCAGGAGGAGGCAAAAACAAGAGAUUCAACAAGAAGAAAAAUGCUGAAAAUUACAGAAACAAGGUGGAGACAUAUCAACCAUGUUUUUACUAUAAAAAAAUAAAUAACUAGCAGAUAAAAUAUUGGUGGAGACGAGACAUUAAGUGCAACAAAUGUGGUCAGAUUGGAUACAUUGAAAGAAUCUGCAGAUCACAACAAUAUAAAGAAAAAACGAAUCCUAUUGCUCAACAACUUGAAAAGGAGCAACUGUUUGUUGCAUCAUGUUUUUCAGCAAGCAACAACUCGAGUGAUUCCUGGUUAAUGACAGUGGUUGCACAAACCAUAUGACAAAUAAUCAAGAAUUGUUCAAGAAACUUGAUAGAAUUGCUAUUUCAAAAGUCAAAAUUGAAAAUGGUGAUUAUAUUGUUGUCAAAGGAAAAUGAAUUGUUGCUAUAAACAAUUUAUUAGGUUUGAAGUACAUUUCAAAUGUAUUAUAUAUAUGUGCCUGAUAUAGAUUAGGAAUUGUUUAAGAAACUUGAGAGACCUGUUAUUUCCAAAGUCAAACUUGAAAAUGGUGAUUAUAUUGCUGUCAAAGGCAAAGGAUUUGUUGCUAUAAACAACCUGUCAGGUUUGAAGUACAUUUCAGAUGUAUUAUAUAUGCCUAACAUUGAUCAUAAUUUGCUAAGUGUUAGACAACUUAUAAAGAAAGGUUUCAAAGUGAUAUUUGAAGACAAAUGAUGCUUGAUCAAUGACAACAUAGGUAACAACGUUUUCAGAGUGAAAAUGAAAGCAAAAGGUUUUACUUUAAAUCUUAUGGAGGAAGAACAAAGUGUUUUAGCUAUAAAACAUGCAAUGACAAACUAUGGCAUAGAAGACUUGGACAUUUUCAUCAUGAUGGGCUAAUAUAUAUGCAAAAACAUAAUCUUGUAAGCGGUGUUCCAUAUCUGGAGAACAAAUCUACCAACUAUGCAACAUAUCAUUAUGAAAGCGGGCUAGAAAACCUUUUCCUCAAACUACAUGGAGAGCAACACAUAAACUUCAAUUGGUACAUAUAGAUGUUGGAGGUCCCUAGAGAAUAGCUUCACUAAAUGGUAGUAGAUACUACAUAAUCUUUAUAGAUGAUUAUUUUAAAUUUUAUUGAAUUUUUUCCUUAAAUUCAAAUAUGAAGUUACUAAUGUAUUUUGGAAGUAUAAAACAUGGAUGGAAAAACAAAGUGGAUGCAAGAUUAAGACAUUAAGGUUUGACAAUGGAAAGGAAUAUACUAGUGAAAGAUUUCAGCAAUUUUGUUAUGAAUCCGGGAUUGAACACCAACUUAUAGAACCUUACACUCCACAAAAAAUCAUAACCUAAUUUUUGACCAUUUUAUUUUAAUUAUUAUUAUUAUUAUUAUUUUAUUUAUUGAAAAUGAUAAAAAAAAUGAUGAAAAAAAAUAAUAAUGAUGGAAAAAUAAGUAAAAUGAAAUAAAUGAAGAAUGAAUUAAACUUUGGAAUUAAUCUAAUUAAGCAUGUAAUUAAUUUAAUUAAUCCAAUUAAGGGUUUAAUUGGAGAAUUGAUAAAUUAUUAGACUUCAUUGAGCUUGGAAUUAAUUUAUUUAAUCCAAUCAAGGGUUUAAUUGGAGAAUUGAUUAAGUUUGGAGACUUAAUUAAGCUUGAAAUUAAUUUAAUUCAUCCAAUCAAGGGUUUAAUUGGAGAAUUGAUAAGUUUUGAGAUUUAAUUAAGCUUGGAAUUAAUUUAAUUAAUCCAAUUAAGGCGCUUAAUUGGAGAAUUGAUAAGUUUUAGACUUAAUUGGACUUUGGAUUUGAUUAAAUUAAUGAAAUCAGGGACUUAAUUGAAGAAAUAGUAAAGUUUGGGGUUAAUUGGGGGCACAAUUGUAACAGAUUAAAGUCCAAGGACUAACUUGUAAAAGGUGCUGGAAUGCAGGGGCAAUUACAGUUUAAACCAGGGACUUAAUUAUAAAAUUUUCAGAACUUCACGGGCCAAAACGCAAAUGGCCACCUCAUAUACCAAAACAAUGUCGUUUGAAAGAACACUGUUCAUCUUCUUGUUCUUUAACCAGAGGUCGUUUCCAGCAGUAAUGGGCAAUAAUCAUCCUCUCACUUCAGUUAUGGACGUUUUAAUGUUGUCGUCCCUCUACAUGCCGUACGUUACCACCCGCCGAGCUCUAUAUAAACGGAGGAGCACCGAAAAACAGAGGUUGGUGAGAGAGAGAGAGAGAGAGGGACGAACAAAACCCGAAGAGAGAAACACAAAGAUACCAACCGAAUUUUUAAAUGUUUUUUAGAACCUCAUAUAGAAGUGAACCUUUCCCUCACCAAUACCGGACUAAAACAAUGAAAACAAAAACAAACCGAGAGAGAGUACAGAGAAUUUGAAAAACAGAGCAUGGGGAUAAUUUUUCAGACAAGGGCAGAGGAAACAAAGGGCAGUAAGGCAGAGGUCGAAGGAGGAAUUCUAGCUUAAUAUUGACGAACACCACCACUGAUCGUUGCCCGACACGCUUACACUCUGGCAAAGCAACCUGCAACAAGGUAGGCUUCCUCUGUUUUCUUUGUUUUUUAACUUUCGAAAGUUCAGUGCAUUUAGCACUGUGCAAAGGCAAUUAAUUACCUUCGCACAGCGCCAUGCACGAAUGAGACUAGUUCAUGCGUGCUGUGGCCCAGCCGGGUCACUGGCUUGGGCCAGUGAUCGAGCUGGGUCUAACCCAGCCCAUGUGGACUGCGCUAGGCCCAGCCCCAAAAAUAAUAAAAAGUAAAUAAAAAAAUAUAAAAAUUGGAAAAAUAGAAAAAUAUGUGUAUGCAUGAAUAAAAAUAAUAUAAAUUUACUUGUUUAUUCACUAAUGUUAUAGUCGGGAAUAAAAUACUAGCUUAAAUUUAUAUUAUUUUUUUUUCAUUAUAUUUUAUUUAGCAAGAAAAAAUAAAACAAAUAAAAAGUAUAUGUGCAUGUAUGAAAAAUAAAAUUUAUUUUAUUGGUUUAUUCACUGACGCCAGAGUCAGGAAUAAAAACACUGAUUUAAUUAUAUUUUUGUUUUUUAUUUAACUACAUAAGAAAUAAAAAAAAUAAGUGAAUGCGUAAUAAGAUGAAUUUAGUUUAUUUGUUUAUUCACUAGCGUUAAAGUCAGGAACAAAAAAAUAUUGAUCUAAAUUUAUUUUAUAGCUACAUAAUAGUUACCAACGCCAGAGUUGGAAUUAUCUGUAGUUGAAUAUUCACCGGCGCCAGAGUCAGGAAUAUUGCGAAUAAACCAUCAGAGCAUAAACCAAUAAAAAUUUAGUAAUUUAAAACAAAACAAGUAAUGCAGUUUGCCUUAGGUAGAAAGUUUAAGGGGUGAUAAUAUCUUUCCUUUUAUGUAACUAGUCCUGAACCAUAGAAUCUCUGUUGAUCAGUUAGGGUUCCUAGUGACCAUAAUACUAGGUGGCGACUUAAUUAGACAAGACAUUUUUUUUUAAAGAACAAAAUGCCGGAAAUCUGUCCUUUUUCCAUAAUCGAGAACUAUUUUUAGGGCCGCCGCGAUGUUGGCUGCUACAAAUGGUAUGAGUGAAAGAAAAAAAGGAGCAUUAUGGAAAUGACUAGAUUCAUGUUGAAUGAAAAAGAGGUGCCGAAAAAACCAUGGGCUGAAGCUGCAAACACAUUGGUGUAUUUGCUGAACAGAAUGCCAACUAGUGCGUUGCAGAAAAGAACUUCAUAUGAAGCUUGGUUUGGAAACAAACCAGACUUCUAACAUUUAAAAAAAUUUGGUCGCCCUUGUUUCAGAUAUGUGCCACAAGUUAAAAGAGACAAAUUGGAUAAGGAGGCUGAAUCAUGAGUGUUCAUUGGAUACAAUAAUCCAUCAAAAGCUUACAGAAUCUUCCAACCUCAAAAUAGAAAAAUUCUAGUAAGCAAAGAUGAUAACUUCAUGGAAGAUAAAUAAUGGAAAUUGGAGGAACCAAAAGAGAAGCAGGAAUCCUUAAAAGAGAAGCAAUAAUCUUCAACUUGGGAGAUUGUUAAUGACCCGUAUUGAUGAUGAACCGGUCAAAGGUACAAGAUCCUUAUAUGAGAUUUAUGAAAGUAGCAACAUUGCUAUUUGUGAGCCUGUAGAAUUUAAAAAGGUAGUGAAGAACAACGAAUGGAUUAAAACAAUGAAAAAGGAACUUAGAAUGAUUGAAAAGAAUGAUACCUAGGUGCUGAUGGAAAAACCCUUACAUAAAAAGGCCAUAGGAAUCAAAAGGGUUUAUAGAGCCAAACAAAAUACAUAUGGUUAUAUAAACAAAUACAAAGCUAGAUUAGUUGUGAAGGGCUAUACUCAAGUGUUUGGAGUGGAUUUCUUAAAAACUUUUGUGCCGGUAGCAAGACUUGAUACAAUCAGAUUGCUACUUGCAUUGUCUGCAUAAAAGGAUUGGAAAUUGUAUCAGUUAGAUGUAAAAUAUGUUUUCUUAGGAUAUUAGCAGGAGGAGAUUUUCAUAGAAAAACCACAAGGUUUUGAAGUCAAGGGGAAAGAAGAGAAGGUCUAUCUGUUAAAGAAGACAUUAUAUGGCCUUAAACAGACUCCUAGAGCAUGGUAUAACAGAAUUAAUGAGCAUCUACAUAAACUUUGCCUCGUCAAAAGUCCAAGUGAGGCCACAUUGUAUGUAAAAGGAACUAAUGAAAACUGUAACAAGAAGUGAUAAGACACUAAUAGAAGAGUUCAUGGCUAAAAUGUUGAAUAUAUUUGAGAUGACAAACCUUGGUUUGGUGUCUUACUUCCUCAAAAUGGAGGUGAAACAAAGCAAUGAUGGAAUCUUCAUAUAUCAAAAGAAGUAUGUUAAGAAGAUCUUGAAAAAGUUUCACAUAGAGAACUGCAAAAGGACAAGCACUCUUAUGAAUCUAAAGGAAAAAUUCAAUAAGAAUGAUAGAAUAAACAAAGUAAAUGAAGGUCAAUACAAAAGCGUAAUUAGGUGUUUGAUGUAUCUUACAUCAACAAGACCUGAUUUUGCAUUUGCUGUAAGUUUGCUCUCACGGUUCAUGCAUUGUGCAAGUGAAUUACAUUUUCAAGGUGCCAAAAAGAUUAUGAGAUAUAUCAAGGGUAUAUAAAAUUCUCUCAUUUUCAAUUUUUUUUGCUUUCUGGCUAUUCUAAAAAUAACUGGGCAGGAUCUUUGGAUGAUAUGAAAAGCACUUUGGGCUAUUAUUUUAUCUUCCUAUUAGGCAUGUUCUCUUGGUUUUAAAGGAAGCUAGAUGUGGUUGCUCAAAGGACAGCUGAGGCUGAAUAAAUAGCAGCUACUAUUGUUGUAAAUUAAGCAAUUUAGAUAAGAAAGAGCCAACACAAAUUUAUGUUGACAAUCAAGCUGUAAUUUUUAUUGCAAAUAAUCCUAUUUUUUAUGGCAAGACUAAGCACUUUAAAAUCAAGUUAAAUUUUUUAAGAGAAGUUCAGGAAGAAGAAGUUACUCAUUUGUUUCAAGAUGAGGCUUUUAGUACUUUUGUUGCUGAAUUUGAUAGCAAUAAGCUCAACCCAAGAGUUAGUAAUGACAAAGAAGGAAAGGAAGAAGCACUAGAGGCUGAAAUAGAGAGGCUUAAAGAGCCGCUGAAGCAGGUAAACUCUGAGAAGUUUCUGGUGCAGAGAUUCUAACAUUCUGCUUACUGAUCCUGGGAUUUUCCCAUGGAAGCAGGUAUGGUUUCGUGUUAAUGAGCAGCUACCAGUUAAUUUGCAGAAGUCAUUGCCUGACGGACCACCUGAAAUGCAAUCUGCUGGUAUACAUGGAGGUGAGGGCAUUUCCCAUGGAUAAAUCAAAGUUUUGUUUUUCUGUAGAGUUAUCCUUUCCCUGAUUGAGUUAUCUGAUAUGAAAUUCAGUAUCAGGUCUGAACUUGGUUGAAUUCAUUCAGAACUUUUGAAUUUUAAAAUAUACGAUGUUUUCUUAAUUGAAUAGCCAAAUUGUUUUUGGUUUAGACCUUGCUAAAUGUGGAAAUGAUUACUAUAAUAGGUAUCGCAAAAGCUGCAAAUAGGUCGCCUCCAAUGCCUCAAAGAAGUCCACCACCUCCUCCUUCAUCUGGGGGUGGGGGAGGUGGGGGACAGCUUGGUGCUUUCUGGUCAACGCAUCACGCUAAGGAUUCACUGUUUUUCGAAGACAAGAGCGGACCUAAAUUUGAUGAAGAACCUAGCCAUAACACAUCACAACAAGAUAGGAAUCAGUCAGAGAAUCGCAGUUUUCCCAAAAACGCUAGUCCUGCAAAGCAAGAAAAUGUACAUACCAUUGUGGCUGGUAGGAGGAAUGUGCA
rnacentral:lncRNA from 1 species